GAUGAACGCUGGCGGCGUGCUUAACACAUGCAAGUCGAACGGAAAGGCUCCUGCUUGCAGGGGUACUCGAGUGGCGAACGGGUGAGUAACACGUGGGUGAUCUGCCCUGCACUUCGGGAUAAGCCUGGGAAACUGGGUCUAAUACCGGAUAGGACGAUGGUUUGGAUGCCAUUGUGGAAAGUUUUUCGGUGUAGGAUGAGCUCGCGGCCUAUCAGCUUGUUGGUGGGGUAAUGGCCUACCAAGGCGUCGACGGGUAGCCGGCCUGAGAGGGUGUACGGCCACAUUGGGACUGAGAUACGGCCCAGACUCCUACGGGAGGCAGCAGUGGGGAAUAUUGCACAAUGGGCGCAAGCCUGAUGCAGCGACGCCGCGUGGGGGAUGACGGCCUUCGGGUUGUAAACUCCUUUCGCUAGGGACGAAGCGCAAGUGACGGUACCUGGAGAAGAAGCACCGGCUAACUACGUG
rnacentral:rRNA from 1 species